rnacentral:lncRNA from 1 species
AAGAGUUCUUAUAGAAUAAUCGAUUUUACUUUUGGGACCUAAUGUGAAAAGAAUUGCAUAUCUGUUCUUCGAUCGAAGAUCUCUUUUCAUGUGUUUCGAGUGAGUUAAUUUUUAGUUAGCUCAUUUUUUUUUCUAAUUUCUUGUAUCAAACUGAUAUAUAAUACGACGACAAGACAAAAGAAGGAGGAAAAAUAAUUCAGAUAUAUUUAAAACUCCAUUAUGUUCCUUAAUGACUGACUUUAAAUGUUGUGUAUAAUAUGUUGUUAUUAUAUUCAGUCAAGAUUUUAUUAAAAUAUUUUAAAGUUUGAUGAUAUUAGUUAUUGAUUUGUAAAACUUUAUUUAAAAUCUUCAUUUAGAGAUUAUUGAAUUCUUUUUUCUAACUCUUGAUUUAUUAUUUAUUGCAAAUUAUGAGAAUUGUUAUAAUGAUGAUUCUACUACCGACAAUUCUGUCCGAUCCUAUUAGAUUCACC